GUGGUCUCUCCUCUUCCCAUACACACCUUACGGAUUCUUCACAGGGUGUGAUGAUGGGAAGCCUAGACACGCUUAUCAGAAGUUUGUCCUCUUAUCGGGAUACGUCAGAAAUUAGAGAGACCCUGGCAAUCACAGCUUCCACCUCCUCAUUUUACAAAUGAGCAACUAGGCUCAGAGUACAGAAGUGGCUUUCCCAGGGUCACACAGCCAGCUUGUGACAGAGUCAGGAUUCAAGUACCAUCUCCUGACUUCUCCAUUGCACCAGACGUCGAUAGAACACAGAGAACCUAAAAGAAGAAAGAAAAAAAAAUAGAGCUUUUGGGAAUAUAUUGGGCUUCUGGUUUUCAAGGACAAUUUUAUGAUAAGUAGCAAUGAUGCCUCAAAAGCUCUGGUAGCUAGCUUGAAUGAACUUAUGUAAUAAACAUUUAUCACAGAACAUGUGUCAUCAAACACCUGCCAGUUCUGAGCGUUGGCACCAAAGCUGCUUUCAUUGUCAAAGAAAAGAGGGGGAAAGGAACUUGGCUGAACAAAGCUGGCAGACGUUUAUACUAGAAAAUUUAGAGGUAAUUUCUAGAGGAACAGAAACACAUUUUCAAAGUCUUAUAAAAUUUAUUUAAAUGUGAUUGGGUGAAUUUAGCAGUUAAAGAAGUGAAGAACACUGAGGUCCAAUUGGUGCCUGAGGCUUCUUCCAGGACCCAGUCUUUUCUGUCUGCCUUGGGCACAGAUUUCUAGAUGCCUGAAGAUGGACAGGCCCAGAGGUUGCCCAGAGUGAUGUCUGAGAUUACUGAUCUCUAUCUAGGCUUCCAUAGAAACACAUCCCAAAACGUUCUUGGUUCUUAUUGGAAUCUCAUCUCAUUUGCAGAACAUGGCCAGAGUCAAAGAGACAUGGACCAUGUGUCACUCAGACUGAGUCCAUCCAUACAAAGAGAAUUCUCUAGCCUGUAUUGGAAGUCAAUCUACAUCAGCAUGACAGGGCAUGUAGCCGAAUACGUGGCCACUUCCCUUUGGCUACCCACACAUUUUUGAACUGCAAGAUCUGUUCUUUAUCUACUCAUCUAAUGGUUAUUACUGGGAGAGCACUGGACUAUAAAUUCUGUUGCACUUGCAGGUGUAAUGAGCUCUUUGAACCUCAGUUUCCUCACCCAUCAGAUACUAUUCAUUAUCUGCCUUGCGGACAACACCUAGUUGUUGGGAACAUUGCAUGAAUGGCAGGUGGAGGUGCUUUGUAAACGCUAAAGCCUGCCAUGAAUGUGAAGGAGUGUUGCUACUCUUCUGUGCCCAACAAUGUGCUAGCACCAAGGGAGUUCAAAAGAAAUGUGAGACAUGGUCCCUACCCUCCAGGAACUUACAACUCAUUGUUGGGAGACCAAGACACAUCCCCUAAAAACAGAUAUGUAACACCUCAAGUCUGUGAAGUACUUACUAUUUAAAUGAUGCCCAGAGCCUCUGAAUCCCCUAGAAGUACAGAGGAGGGGGAGAUCAUUAAUGGUGUGGAGAAGUUGGAGGAGGUGAGACGAUGCCAGG
rnacentral:lncRNA from 10 species